rnacentral:rRNA from 1 species
AGAGUUUGAUCCUGGCUCAGGACGAACGCUGGCGGCGCGCCUAACACAUGCAAGUCGAACGAGCGAGAGAGAGCUUGCUUUCUCAAGCGAGUGGCGAACGGGUGAGUAACGCGUGAGGAACCUGCCUCAAAGAGGGGGACAACAGUUGGAAACGACUGCUAAUACCGCAUAAGCCCACGGUGCCGCAUGGCACAGAGGGAAAAGGAGCAAUCCGCUUUGAGAUGGCCUCGCGUCCGAUUAGCUAGUUGGUGAGGUAAUGGCCCACCAAGGCGACGAUCGGUAGCCGGACUGAGAGGUUGAACGGCCACAUUGGGACUGAGACACGGCCCAGACUCCUACGGGAGGCAGCAGUGGGGAAUAUUGCACAAUGGGGGAAACCCUGAUGCAGCGACGCCGCGUGGAGGAAGAAGGUCUUCGGAUUGUAAACUCCUGUUGUUGAGGAAGAUAAUGACGGUACUCAACAAGGAAGUGACGGCUAACUACGUGCCAGCAGCCGCGGUAAAACGUAGGUCACAAGCGUUGUCCGGAAUUACUGGGUGUAAAGGGAGCGCAGGCGGGAAGACAAGUUGGAAGUGAAAUCUAUGGGCUCAACCCAUAAACUGCUUUCAAAACUGUUUUUCUUGAGUAGUGCAGAGGUAGGCGGAAUUCCCGGUGUAGCGGUGGAAUGCGUAGAUAUCGGGAGGAACACCAGUGGCGAAGGCGGCCUACUGGGCACCAACUGACGCUGAGGCUCGAAAGUGUGGGUAGCAAACAGGAUUAGAUACCCUGGUAGUCCACACCGUAAACGAUGAUUACUAGGUGUUGGAGGAUUGACCCCCUCAGUGCCGCAGUUAACACAAUAAGUAAUCCACCUGGGGAGUACGACCGCAAGGUUGAAACUCAAAGGAAUUGACGGGAGCCCGCACAAGCAGUGGAGUAUGUGGUUUAAUUCGACGCAACGCGAAGAACCUUACCAAGUCUUGACAUCCUGCGACGGACAUAGAAAUAUGUCUUUCCUUCGGGACGCAGAGACAGGUGGUGCAUGGUUGUCGUCAGCUCGUGUCGUGAGAUGUUGGGUUAAGUCCCGCAACGAGCGCAACCCUUAUGGUCAGUUACUACGCAAGAGGACUCUGGCCAGACUGCCGUUGACAAAACGGAGGAAGGUGGGGAUGACGUCAAAUCAUCAUGCCCUUUAUGACUUGGGCUACACACGUACUACAAUGGCGUUAAACAAAGAGAAGCAAGACCGCGAGGUGGAGCAAAACUCAGAAACAACGUCCCAGUUCGGACUGCAGGCUGCAACUCGCCUGCACGAAGUCGGAAUUGCUAGUAAUCGCAGAUCAGCAUGCUGCGGUGAAUACGUUCNCCGGGCCUUGUACACACCGCCCGUC